GGAAAACAUAAAGGUUCACUGUGAAUGCAAAGCCUGUUUCCAGAUUCAGAGACUGCUGUUCCCUCUCAAGUUUUUAAGGAAGACUCAAUUAUAUAAGAAGGUCUUCAAAGCACUUAGACUACAAAUUAAAGAACACAAUCUUGUAAUGGGUUUCUUCUGAUGAAAUAUAACCAGUGAUCACCAUCCUUGCAAAGAGCCAUGCGCUGCAUAUCUACCCUAAGCAAACAGAGAAGCUUAAACUAACACAUCAUCUUCAAACAAAGUUGUCUGAAGUUCUGAAAACACAGAGAUACUGCAAGUUAAAUACCAAGUCGUACCAACAUAACCACAGAGUUCUGGCUAACAAAAGGUAGUUAUCAAUCUGAGAGGCCACUAUCGACCAGAAAAAGACGAAGUCUUGUAAAAUGAGAUGUCCCUUUAUCCUUGCCUCCUUUUCCUUCCGAAACCUCUGAUAACGUCUCUAGAGAUACAACAGCCAUCUUCUGACCAAGAAGACAAAAAAUGGUAAGCUAGAAAAAUAGGAUACUGUUCCUUGAUGACAUCCUUGAGCAAUCUCAUCAUCUAUGGAUUGCCUAUCUCUGGACUUCACAUUACGUAAGAAAAGUAAAUUCUCACUUGUUUAAGGCA